ACUGUACUCCAGUCUGGGUGACAGAGUGAGACCCCAUCUUGAAAAAAUGAAAGGAGAAAUAAACAAAACCAGGUCACCACAAGGAAAUGCGAAAGGAAAUUUAAAAUGUUUGUUGAUUGAAAUAAAAAAAAAAAUACAAUAACUGAGUCUGAAGGAAAUAGUGAUAUGUCAAGGAUCAUUGUAAUUCAAGGCAAAUGACCCUCAUCUUGAAAGAGCUUUUUAAAUGGUAUUUAUUUCACUUUCCAUUAGGAUUUAACCAGAAAGAGAACAUUUUUAAUAGAGGCAGCAUUGCGAAAUGUGGCCAGUGGGAGAGUUGGGGUCUUGUGUGUAUGAGGAAUUCUUUGGGGCGUAGGACUAAGGCAAUACAGCUGGACCAAUACAACUCUCUUGGUUUUCAAAUUCCACCUCUAUGUAGCUAUGGAAAGAAUUGUGUCAUUCUUGGUAGAAAACCCAGCCCAAGUGUUCCCCUGGAGAUGAAAACACAGAAUAAGAAUUUUAAGAAACCAUUUUUUGGGGGAGUCAAAAGAAUGUUAAUGAGACAAUUGAUUAAGUUAUACAAAGAAGUUAAAAAUAAAAUAAAUACUAUGUCCAGUGGAAAUAUUUUACUUGCUCCCCUAAAAACCCACCCCAAAACAUAACAUUGAGCUUUCAGAGGGGAAGCAGGGAGUGGGACACAGAAAGAAACCAAUGAGAGGGCAGCAUGGAAACCACACUGAGGAAACAGAACUUUUAACCAACGACUAUUAGAAAAAUAACAGCAAUCAUUGAUUAAACAAAUUAUGGUUCUAGGAAAAGGGGCACAAAACAGUCAACCUUGGCAAGACUGCUAUGUUGGGUAAGCACAGAGCUUUAGGGAUGACAGCUCUCAUUUCCUGUGCAAUUAAGAACAUUGUUCUUUGGGUCAUCUCAGUCAGUUGACAAUCACUUUUUGAGUGCACACUAUAUGCCAAGCUCUGUGUUAGAUGUUGGGGCUAUAACACCUAUGUAUCUUUGUAGAUAUGCUCCCUGCCUUACACAAAUGCCCAGGGUAUGGUGAAUGUGAUAAGGCAUAAUAAUAGCUAAAAUGUAUUGAGCACUCGCUGUGUUUUAAACACUGUACAAGCACUGUAAUCCACUAUGAGAACAGAACUAUAUGGUUUUGGUCACAUUUGUAUCUCCAUUGCUUGGCACAUAGGUAUUCAAUAAAUAUAUUUUAAAAAUCCUUGCAACAACUCUAUGAGGAGGUAUCAUUAUUACUCCCAUUUUACAGAUGAGAAGACUGAGGUCCAAAGAGAUUAAGCACUUGUUUGGUGCUAUUUUUAGGAAGCCAUGGGACAAGGAUUUGAACCCAGGAAACCCUGCAAAACACUACACAAUGCUGCCCCUUGAUAAGUACAUGAGUAAUCAAAAUGCAAGACAGAAGGUAGAAAGCACUCCAAGGGAGAUUCAAACAAACUGCCUUGGAAGUUCUAACCUCUGGCAAGGAAAGGGGACGGUAAGAAGGGAAGGAUCCUUGGACGAGAUGGCAUUUGAGUUGAGUCUUAAAUGUGGGUGAGAUUUCCUCAAGGGGGUACAAGGGGAAGCAUCUUUAAGAUAAAGGAAAGUCAGGAACCAGCACUCGGAACUGGAUAAGCGAAAGGUAUAUUUGAAGACUUUUACACUUCCAGUUUGCUGCGGAAGUAGCCCUCCUCCAUGGCAGCAGCAGGAGAUUAUCUGGAGUGGGUCAGAAGCGGUAAGGAGCAGGGCUUCUCGUGCUGUCACCGCACAAGGGUUGCCUGGUGAUUCAGCAGGUCCAUGGCGUGGCCCCUGGUGAUGCCAAGGCAGCUGGUCUUGGACCACACUUGGAGCAGCUGGGUUCUAGAGGGCCUUGCUUUUCUGGCUGAAGGGUGUAGACUUUAUUUGGUAAGCAUAGGGGUGCACAGAUGGAUUUUUAUGCAGGAAAAUAAGGCUUUAGAAAGAUGGCUUGGUGGUAGUGGUAUAAGAUGCCCUGGAGAAAGUUGGGCUUUGGUUUCUUUAGCUCCUAACUUAUAACUCUCAAAGCUCAGAAUACUGAUUCAGUCAGGGCCCACACAGGAAAACAGAAACCAAAGAGAUGAUUAACAGAGAUCUUUUAGCCCUUGAAGUUGCAUUGUCACUUAUUCACCAGCGCUGCCUAGAAACUGUUCUUUUCCCCUCCUCCAAGACCAGCCAGAAGCAAAAUUUGUCCUUAGUCUCUAGUGGUUAGAAAAAGAAAGGACAUGUUGCCUUGACUUUGCGCUAUCCUGAUGGGUCUGUUCAGGUUCAAACUGGGCCCAUCACUCAGCUUACUCUGGAUCACUUUUUCAUGACUGGUAGAUCUGCUUGGGGAAUGAAAAAUGCUGUGAAUAUCAGCCUGAAAAAAAAUAUCAUCAGGAAAUUAAAUCUGUGGCUUAAAAAAUCCCACACUGCUUUCUGGCUCUGGUCUGUCUCCCAACUGGGAUCUCUCCCUCGGCAUGGAGGCCUCCUUCCGGCCUCCUCCCCCUCCUCUGGUUCUCCCCACCCUCUUUCUUCCCCCCCUCCCCCGACAGCCUCCCCUCCUCCCCUCUUCUCUUUCUUAUCCUAUAGGACCUCCGGCCUGCCUUUUUUCUUCUCUCUGGGCUCCUCCCUGGUGGCUUCAAGCUUCCCUUCCUGUCUCCAGGCUUCUAGCUAUUCCCCAGCUCCACGGAAGCAUCUGUCUGUCUCUCUUUCACUUCCCAUCAGGGAGUCCUAAAUGCUGAAUAGGCCCUUCAGACCAGGCCCUGAAGGGGACUUGGCUGGGGCAGUAGGGGGUGGGGGGUGCUGGGGACCUGCUGAGGCCAUACAGAAGUCCAUUGAUAGGCAGCCCUUCCACACAGACAACCCAGUCCAGUCUCCAUGGCUCCAGCGGAGAGAGGCGUCCCUUGAGAUGGUGGCCAACAUCCCGGCCACCAUGAAUGACCUCAGUGUCUUCGGUGGGCAGGGGGACCUUCAUUCUGUAACCUCCAAAUCCUUCAGGCUAAUCAGUCCCACCAUGGGUGUGAAUAUAUUCAUCUUGAAAAUAAUUUGUCAGUACAUCUCCAUCAGUGGUGCUGAUUUCAUUAAUUGGAAGAAUUAGCUCUUUGUGGCCAAUGGAAGAAUAUGGAGCCAAAACACACGGAAUACUUUUCCCCAGUGACCCAGAGACCCUUGGACGAACUCCUGGGUGCCAUGAAAAUGGAUCGUUUUGCAGAAAGAAUACCAUUGGAUGUUUAUUUAACAUCACUCUCCAUCCCCCCAAAAAGACCUUCAAAAUGCUCUCACAUCUGGCUGCUUUUCUUCCCUCACUUUUUUUGUGCAGAGCCAGGGCAGGGAGGAAACUUCAUCAGUCUGAAAACAUCCAGCAGCAAAGUGUAAAUUAAAUGUGCAGGGAGGCCAGGGGAAGGGGAGUCUUACAUUCUGGGGGUGGAGUAAGAAGACUGUGUCCUCACCCCUACUCCAUACUGGCAGAGCCGGUUUUUACCCUGUGUCUCCCAUUAGGAGCUGUGCGACCUUGGGCAAGACACUUAACCCUUCUGAGCCUCUGUUUCCUUCUGGUAAAACAGGGAAAUAAGCACAUACGGGGCUGUUGGAGGGCAAAAGGGAAUAAUGUAUGUAGAGUGUAUGGCACAUAGACACUUGAUUGAUGGUAGCUACUAUUGUGGUUGCUGGGAUCAAAACCAGAAGAGAAUCCCAACUGUUUCCAUGCCUCAGAGACUCACCAUUGCUGGCCCCAUUCGGGGAGACAGAUGGGCAAAAGUAAGUCCUAUGGGAGGAGACAGAUGGACAAAAAAGGGUGAUCAAGGGGAUCGGAUGGACUGAUAGGUCGAUGGGGUAACAGGCGGAUGGAACAUCCCAUGGGGAAGGCGGAUUUGUGACAACCCAAAAGAGACCUUGAGAGACGGUGUCCCAUGGGAGGGGCAGAUGGAUGAGGGUCCAACAGGGGAGACAGAGAGAUGACAGACCAAAGAGGAAGACAGAUGGAUGGCAAUUUCAUAUGGGGGGUGGGCAACCCUGUGAUUGGGGGGAACAGAUGGACAAUAUGCUGACGAUGAAGCCCGGGCUUCCUGUUUAGUCUCUAUUCCUCAGGCCUGGACAUCCCUGAAUUCUUAAUAACCUUGAGGCUCUGUGAGGAUGAGAGAGAGAGACAGAGAGAGAGAACUUCACACGGCCUGAGAAGACGUGAAGCAUCAGGGUUCCACCUGAAUUCCUUCCAUGCUUUUCAGCGACUGAACCGUUUGGGUGGCCUGGAAGAGCCUGUGAGCUCCCUAGAGAAAGGAGACAGUGUGGAUGGAGAAGAAUCUGGAGUAGAGACAAGUCUGGGGACCCUGCCUUUCAAGUCUUUUGUGUGAGGGCUGCGUUGGUGGCCCAACUAGCCAGGGAAAGGCUAUGGUAUGCGGGGUCAGGCGGGAAUAGGCAGGAAAUGUUUGUGAUAAGAGGCUUUGCCUCUUGCAAGCUCCUCUGGUUUCCAGACCCAGCUGCAGGAUAAGGGCCCAGGAGCUGAGCAGGAAGCCUCAGAGGAGGCUGCUGCAGGAGCCAGCCCUUGGGAUUUCAGCAGGCAGAGUUGCAAUCAGAGGCCCCUGGGGGCUCUGAGGACCGUGCCUGGGGAUAGAAACGACCCUGGGAACCCAGCCAGGGCUGCCUUCCUUUGGGAUCAGGAAUUUCAAUCAUACUUCAGAGGGCCAAAUCAAUCCCUUAAGAAAAGUAAAACAAAACAAACCCCA